CAUAGUGAUGAUACUGUGACACGGAAAGGCAUUCCUCGACCUGAAUAUACAAUGUCGAUCUUAUCACGCAAUUAAGUUUCAGCCUUGUCUGAUU
rnacentral:snoRNA from 1 species